rnacentral:rRNA from 1 species
GGCGUAGGGCGCGAGCGUUGUCCGGAUUUAUUGGGCGUAAAGAGCUCGUAGGCGGCUUGUCGCGUCGAAUGUGAAAACCCACGGCUCAACUGUGGGCUUGCAUUCGAUACGGGCAGGCUAGAGUUCGGUAGGGGAGACUGGAAUUCCUGGUGUAGCAGGUGAAAUGCGUCAGAUAUCAGGAGGAAUACCGAUGGCGAAGGCAGGUCUCUGGGCUGACACUGACACUGAGAGACGAAAGCGAGGGGAGCAAAUGGG